rnacentral:rRNA from 1 species
UCCGGUUGAUCCUGCCAGAUCCGACUGCUAUCCGGGUAAGACUAAGCCAUGCAAGUCGUAUGGAACAGCUUGUUCCAUGGCGAACUGCUCAGUAACAAGUGAUCAACUUACCCUUCAGUGGAGCAUAACCUCGGGAAACUGAGGCUAAUUCUUCAUAGUUGGAACUGCCUGGAAGGGUUUUCCAUCGAAAGAUAUUCCCAAUUGCGGGAUGUUCGCUGAAGGAUAGGAUCGCUUUCGAUUAUGGUAGUUGGUGAGGUAAUGGCUCACCAAGCCUAUGAUCGAUAAGGGCCGUGAGAGCGGUAGCCCUGAGAUGGAUACUGAGACAAUGAUCCAGGCCUUACGAGGCGCAGCAGGCGCGAAACCUUUACAAUGCACGCAAGUGUGAUAAGGUUACCCGGAGUGCUAAGAGAACAACUUUUAGCUGUUAUAGGUGUGUAAAUAACCCUAUGAGAAAGGAGAGGGCAAGGCUGGUGCCAGCCGCCGCGGUAAAACCAGCUCUUCAAGUGGUCGGGAAUUUUAUUGGGCUUAAAGUGUCCGUAGCCGGUUUGAAAAGUUCCUGGUUAAAUCUGGUAGCUUAACUAUCAGUCAGCUAGGAAUACUAUCUUACUAGAGGGUGGGAAAGGCUUGGGGUACUCCGGGGGUAGCGGUGAAAUGCGAUAAUCCUCGGGGGACCACCAGUGGCGAAGGCGCCAAGCUGGAACACGCCUGACGGUGAGGGACGAAAGCCAGGGGAGCGAACGGGAUUAGAUACCCCGGUAGUCCUGGCCGUAAACGAUGCGUGCUAGGUGUUGGAAGGGCUAUGAGCCGUUCCAGUGCCGUAGGGAGACUGUUAAGCGCGCCGCCUGGGAAGUACGCUCGCAAGAGUGAAACUUAAAGGAAUUGGCGGGGGAGCAC